UAAGCAGGGUAUGAAAUCGUAAGGUUCAACCUUACAACUGUGCCCUGAACUGGCAGACUAGAGUGUGGUGAGGUAGCUGGAAUUUCUAGUGUAGGAGUGAAAUCCGUAGAUAUUAGAAGGAACACCGAUGGCGUAGGCAGGCUACUGGGCCAUUACUGACACUGAGGCACGAAAGCGUGGGGAGCGAACCGGAUUAGAUACCCGGGUAGUCCACGCCGUAAACGAUGGACGCUA
rnacentral:rRNA from 1 species